CGCGACGCGCAUGCUCAGUCGGGCAGCUCUCCGGGCGGGCGUGGGAGCCCGCGCUCCAAGGCCCGGUCGGGGGAGGGGCGCUCACGCAACCGCCCCUGUCUGGAGGGGGCUCGCCUCUGCGGCAGCGCUCACCGCCCGGGCUUUACUGAAGCGGAGUCUAGCAUGUGUGGCUGCUCCACAGCGGUGGCGGUGGCGGCGGCUCCUCUGCAGCAGCCUCGGCAGUAGGGGUCGCGGUGGCCAAGCCCACCGUGGAGCUCAUCUGAGAGUUGUAAGCCAAGACAAUCCAAAGCAAAAAGAACACAGCUGGAGGCAUCACGCUACCUGACUUCAAACUAUACUGCAAGGCUACAGUAACCAAGACAGCAUGGUACUAGUACCAAACAGAUAUCUAGACCAAUGGAAUGGGACAGAGGCUGCAGAAAUAACACCACACACCUACAACCAUCAGAUUUUUGACAAACCUGACAAAAACAAGCAAUGGGGAAAGGAUUCCCUAUUUAAUAAAUGAUGUUGGGAAAGCUGGCUAGCCAUAGGCAGAAAACUGAAACUGGACCCCUUCCUUACACCUUAUACAAAAAUUAACUCAAUUUUAUUAUGUUGUAUUAAAUUAAGUUGGAUUUAAUUAAGAUGGAUUAAAGACUUAAUUAUAAGACCUAAAACCAUAAAAACCCUAGAAGAAAACCUAGGCCAUACCAUUCAGGACACGGGUAUGGGCAAAGACUUCAUAACUAAAACACCAAAAGCAAUGGCAACAAAGUCCAAAUAGACAAAUUGGACCUGAUUAAACUAAAGAGCUUCAGCGCAGCAGAAGAGACUAUCAUCAGAGUGAACAGGCAACCCACAGAAUGGAAGAAAAUUCUUGCAAUCUAUCCAUCUGACAAAGGGCUAAUAUCCAAAAUCUACAAAGAACUUAAACAAAUUUACAAGAAAAAACACAAACAACCCCAUCAAAAAGUGGGCUAAGGAUGUGAACAGACACUUCUCAAAAGAAAACAUUUAUGCAGCCAACAAACAUGAAAAAAAGCUCAUCAUCACUGCUCAUUAGAGACAUGCAAAUCAAAACCACCAUGAGAUACCAUCCCACACCAGUUAGAAUGGCAGUCAUUAAAAUGUCAGGAAACAACAGAUGCUGGAGAGGAUGUGGAGAAAUAGGAACACUUUUACACUGUUGGUGGGAGUGUAAAUUAGUUCAACCGUUGUGGAAGACAGUGUGACCAUUCCUCAAAGACCUAUAACCUGAAACACCAUUUGAUCCAGCAAUCCCAUUGCUGGGUAUAUACCCAAAGAAUUAUAAAUCAUUCUACUAUAAAGACACAUGCACACAUAUGUUUAUUGCAGCACUGUUCACAGUAGCAAAGACUUGGAACCAACCCAAAUGCCCAUCAAUGAUAGACUGCAUAAAGAAAAUGGGGCACAUAUACACCAUGGAAUACUAUGCAGCCAUAAAAAAAGAUGAGUUCAUGUCCUUUGCAGGGACGUGGAUGAAGCUGGAAACCAUCAUUCUCAGCAAGCUAACACAAAAACAGAAAACCAAACACCACAUGUUCUCACUCAUAAGUGGGAGUGGAACAAUGAGAACACAUGGACACAGGGAGGGGAACAUCACACACCAGGGCCUGUUGGGUUUAUAGGGGGCUGGGGAAGGGAUAGCAUUAGGAGAAAUACUUAAUAUAGAUGACGUGUUGAUGGGUGCGGUAAACCACCAUGGCACGUUUAUACCUAUAUAACAAACCUGCAAGUUCUGCACAUGUAUCUCAGAACUUAAAGUAUAAUAAUUUAAAAAAAGAAAAAAUGUAAAAAAAGAAAUUAAAAAGGGGAGUUGGAGCAUAGAAGAAAGAAAAUAAAUGCAAUUUGAAGGGCA